UCCUUGGUGGUUCAGAUGGUAAAGCAUCUGCCUACAAUGCAGGAGACCUGGGUUCGAUCCCUGGGUUGGGAA
rnacentral:tRNA from 1 species